CCGAUAGAGGGGGAUACCAGUUGGAAACGACUGUUAAUACCGCAUAAUGUCUACGGACCAAAGUGUGGGACCUUCGGGCCACAUGCUAUCGGAUGUGCCUACGUGGGAUUAGCUAGUUGGUGAGGUAAUGGCUCACCAAGGCGACGAUCCCUAGCUGGUUUGAGAGGAUGAUCAGCCACACUGGAACUGAGACACGGUCCAGACUCCUACGGGAGGCAGCAGUGGGGAAUAUUGGACAAUGGGCGCAAGCCUGAUCCAGCCAUGCCGCGUGUGUGAAGAAGGCCUUCGGGUUGUAAAGCACUUUCAGUAAGGAGGAAGCGUUGAGUGUUAAUAGUACUCAGCGUUGACGUUACUUACAGAAGAAGCACCGGCUAACUCUGUGCCAGCAGCCGCGGUAAUACAGAGGGUGCAAGCGUUAAUCGGAAUUACUGGGCGUAAAGCGCACGUAGGCGGUUUUUUAAGUCAGAUGUGAAAGCCCCGGGCUCAACCUGGGAAUUGCAUUUGAAACUGGAAAA
rnacentral:rRNA from 1 species